GAACAGAUUAUUCCUACGAGUUCUAUUUGAUAAUAUAGAGCUAUAGAUACUUCUGACCCAUCAAUUAAAUGGUUACAUUGAAUUCUUAUCCCCUAAAUUUUAUUUUCAAAUUACUAAUAAAUUUUGAUACGAAAGCAUAUACAUCGAUACGGAGGUAUAUAUUUCAAUAUACUACUUCAAUUCUUGAAUAAAUUAUUUUAAUAAAUUCUAUUUAAUGAUAC
rnacentral:lncRNA from 1 species